AACGAACGCUGGCGGCGUGCCUAACACAUGCAAGUCGAACGAGAAAGGGGCUUCGGCUCCGAGUAAAGUGGCGCACGGGUGAGUAACACGUGGGUAACCUGCCUCUAAGAUUGGGAUAACUCGUCGAAAGAUGAGCUAAUACCGAAUAAGACCACAGUUCCCGCGGGAACAGGGGUCAAAGGUAGCCUCUGCUUGCAAGCUAUCACUUAGAGAUGGGCCUGCGCACCAUUAGCUAGUUGGUAGGGUAACGGCCUAACAAGGCAAAGAUGGUUAGCUGGUCUGAGAGGAUGAUCAGCCAAACUGGAACUGGGACACGGUCCAGACUCCUACGGGAGGCAGCAGUGGGGAAUAUUGCGCAAUAGGCGAAAGCUUGACGCAGCAACGCCGCGUGAGGGAUGAAGGCCUUCGGGUCGUAAAGCUCUGUCGGGAGGAACGAAUGCUCCUGAGGUUAACAGCCUCGGGAGGUGACGGUACCUUCAAAGGAAGCACCGGCUAACUCUGUG
rnacentral:rRNA from 1 species